GAGUUGAUCAUGGCUCAGGAUGAACGCUGGCGGCGUGCUUAACACAUGCAAGUCGAACGGAGUUUAGAUGAAAGCUUGCUUUGACUAAACUUAGUGGCGGACGGGUGAGUAACGCGUGGGUAACCUGCCUUAUACAGGGGGAUAACAGUCGGAAACGACUGCUAAUACCGCAUAAGCGCACGGAAUCGCAUGAUUCAGUGUGAAAAGAUUUAUCGGUAUAAGAUGGACCCGCGUCUGAUUAGCUAGUUGGUGAGGUAACGGCCCACCAAGGCGACGAUCAGUAGCCGGCCUGAGAGGGUGAACGGCCACAUUGGGACUGAGACACGGCCCAAACUCCUACGGGAGGCAGCAGUGGGGAAUAUUGCACAAUGGGGGAAACCCUGAUGCAAGCGACGCCGCGUGAGUGAAGAAGUAUUUCGGUAUGUAAAGCUCUAUCAGCAGGGAAGAAAAUGACGGUACCUGACUAAGAAGCCCCGGCUAACUACGUGCCAGCCGCAGC
rnacentral:rRNA from 1 species